UACGUCCGGUGUUAUUACCUCCCACCGCCCCCGCAAGGUCCCCUAUUCCCCAGCUCCCUCGGUUGACCUCAUCAGGCUGCCCCUCCCCUUCAUCCCACCGCCGAUGUUAGGACCCGUACACCCUCUUCUCCUCUCCGCCCCUCCUCAUCGGAUCCGUUUGCCAAAGAGUCCGUGGAGUCGCUGCCGCGCUCGGCAUGCUCGCGGACGACCAAGAGCUAGGCGCCAACGGAGGCGCGGCCCUCGUUUCCACCGGAUAAGCAGCUGUGGACACCGCGCGUUGUAGGGCUCCACAAUGCUAGCAUCCUCCCCCUGCAGGACCAGCCGAUGAAUCGGAGCAAUCAUCGAUAGGGACGCCGUCGAGGCGCCCUGCUUUGGCAGGCUGCCCGUGUGGUGAGCGUUCUGGGCACCACCAAACCAGCAUCAUGUGCAGGUACUUCAAUCCUGUUGGUGGUUCAUUAGAGUGGAUACCUUGGACACUGACCCUAUAUCUACUGUACAUGUACUAAAUCAAGAUCAUUCUACCUAGGUACUUCAAUCCUGUUGGUGGUUCAUUAGAGUGGAUACCUUGGUGAAAUCCCACGUGGAAUUUCGAAAAAUCUUAUGUUCUACCUAUAUCCUAUGUUCAGCAACCUGACAAUAUUGGGGACUGGCUUCGCAACUAUAGAUGGAAAUGGGGUUUGGAUGAUGGAUGGUACUGAAGAUGGCACAGAGGCGAGGGAAGAAUAUGUGAUGAUGGUCAAUCAGAUAUUUGAUAGUGAAGAACAAGGUUACAAGCACUAUAACAGUUAUGCGAAAGAAAAAGGCUUUAGUGUCCGAUUGGACGAUAAAGUGUAUGUUCUUGGGACGAAAGAAUUGAAAGGAAAACAUUUCGUCUGCUCAAAAGAAGAUUACCAUUUGCAGAAGUACUUUGAAGCUACUGACCAAAAGAGGGAGCCACGGGCACUGACUCGUUGUGGCAGCAAAGCUAUGCUUGAGAUAUAGCGUAUUGCUGGUACGGAUCAGUCGUUUGUGAAGAAUUUUGUCGAUGACCAUACUCAUCCACUUGCUGACCCUGAACACGGAUCGUCGGAUGACCGAUGCUCAAAAAGCUGAUGCGGUUGAAUAUGAAAAUUGCUGGCCUUCGGACAUGCGAAAUCUAUGACGUGAUGGUGACUCAGAGUGGUGGUUUUGACAAGUUGGGGUUUGCUUCCCGAGACAUGUACAAUUUCUUCGCAACAUUUGGUCCUAUACCAUCUCACUAUUCUGCCUCUACCCGUGCCUCUGGGGAGAGAGUCCUUGAUCCAAAAGUAAUUGUUCCCAAAGGUGCCCCAUCUAAGAAGAGAAUGAAGCCAUUUCAUAAGACACUCAGAGAGUCUAGAAAGCGGAAGCAGAGAUCCAGGCGCUGCAGCGAAUGUGGCAAUCUGAACCAUGACAUUCGCAAGUGUCCUGAUCUCGGGAGAAGUUGACCUUAUUCUGCAUGUAAAAGUCGGCCAAAGCAAAAAAAAAUCCUAGAAGAAAAAUUGUACAAGAAAAUGAUCUUCAAACAUAAACUGCGGCCUUCAAUUUCCUUCAGUGAAGCUCAUAGCCUGAUAUGAUUGGGUUUCAGUUGAAUAUUGCUGGUUUGAUCAUUGGGUUGGCAGAGACACAUGUUUCAGUUGAAUAUUGUUUGUUACUGUGUGUUCAGCAAAUGAAUAUUGUCGGAUAGAAAUUAUGUAUUACCAGAUUUUUUUUAUAUGUCACAGUAAACUUGCUGCUUGGUGCUUGCUGCAUGGAUUCCUUUUGGGCAUGGCAUUAUUUGUGUUGUGC